AUGAAGACAUCUAAUCCUGCUUUAUUCAUGUUCUUGUGGCUGCAGCUGGACUGGUUUAGCCAAGGAGAGAAGGUGGAUCAGCAUCCUUCUACCCUGAGUGUCCAGGAGGGAGACAGCGCUGUUAUCAACUGUACUUAUUCAGACAGUGCUUUGGACUACUUUCCUUGGUACAAACAAGAAGCUGGAAAAGGUCCCCGACGUAUUAUAGACAUUCGUUCAAAUAAGGAGAUAAAUCAAAUCCAAAGAUACAUUGUUGUGUUGGAUAAGAGAGCCAAACACUUCUCCCUGAACAUCACAGCCACCCAGCCUGGAGACUCAGCUGUCUACUUCUGUGCAGCCAGUGGCUCUGAUGGCCACCAGCAUUUCUGGGCUUGUGGCUGCCUCCUCCAGUCUCGGCCUCCACAGUCACCCUGGUGUCUCUCUCCCAUUGAUAAGUGUCCCUCUUGCAAGCACACACAAGAUUGCUUUCAAAUUUCAUAUAAUCCAGUAUACUCAUGA